GCCGGUAUAGCUCAGUGGCAGAGCAAGACCGUUGUAUCGUCUGUUGUCGUGGGUUCGAGUCCUACUACCGGCUCCA
rnacentral:tRNA from 1 species